rnacentral:rRNA from 1 species
UACGUAGGGGGCAAGCGUUGUCCGGAAUCAUUGGGCGUAAAGAGCGUGUAGGCGGUUCGGUAAGUCGGCUGUGAAAGUCCAGGGCUCAACCCUGGGAUGCCGGUCGAUACUGCCGGACUAGAGUUCGGAAGAGGCGAGUGGAAUUCCUGGUGUAGCGGUGAAAUGCGCAGAUAUCAGGAGGAACACCGGUGGCGAAGGCGGAUCUCUGGGCCUUACCUGACGCUCAGGUGCGAAAGCUAGGGGAGCGAACAGG